ensembl:lncRNA
AAAGUAUGUCUCACUGAUAAAUAUAUAAUUAAAUUCUGAAUACACUACUGUUGUAAUGGUGGCAGCUAAGUCCUUAUCUCUAGUAUGAAGGCUAAAAGACAAAAGGAUAUUAAAAAUAAGCAUAGCUUAGAAUUUUUAAUGUAUACACAGGGUUAAAAUAUGUAAAUUGUGACAUCAAAAACAUAAAAUGGAGGGAGGAGUAGAGUGUAGAAAUUAAGUAUUUGAAGUUGUUAUAGCUUAAAAUAUAUUGUUAUAAAUAUGAGGUGGUUUAUAUAAUCCUGGUAACCACAAAGCAAACACCUAUACUAGAUACACAAAAGAUAAAGGAAUCUAAGCACACCCAUACCAAAAAAACAAAAAAAACAAAAACCAUCUUAUCACAAAGGAAGACAGCAAGACAUGAAGGAACAAAGGAAUUACAAUGCAGCCAGAGAAUAAUGAACAAAAUGGCAGUAAGAAGUCUUUAUCUAUCCAUCCAUGAACUUUAAAUGAACAAAAUUCCCAAAAGAUAGACUGGGGGAAAAAAAAAAAAAGAACUGGACUGACUUGGUAGUACAGUGGAUAGGAAUCUGCCUGCCAAUGCAGAGGACAUGAGUUUGAUCCCUGGUCUGGGAAGAUUCCACAUGCAACUAAGGCCAUGUGCCGCAACUACUGAGCUUAGGGCCCACAUGCUGCAGCUACUGAAGCCCACAUGCCUAGAGUCCAUGCUUCACAAGAGACACCCUCACAGUGAGGAGCCCAUGCACUGCAACAAAGAGUAGUCCUGCUUGCCAUAACUAGAGAAAGCCUACACAUACAGACUGAAAGUUGAAGGAAUGGAAAAAGAGAUCUCAUGAAUGGAAACCAAAAGAAAGCAAGGUAGCUAUAUUUAUAUUGGACAAAAUAAGACACAGAAUGUAAUAAUCUAUAAAGGUCAUGAUUAAGGGGUCAGGCCGACAAGAAAAUAAGCAAUUGUAAAUAUUUAUUCAUCUAACAUAGGACUACCUAAAUCUAUAAAGCAUAUAUUAACAGAUAAAAGGGAAUUCCUUGGUGGUCUAGUGGUUAGAAACACUCGGUGCUUUUUUUUAAAAAAAAAACUUGGUGCUUUUUAAAAAAUUUUAGUUACUUGGCUGCCUGGGCUUAGUUGUGGUGUGCAGGAUGUUCUGUGGAGUGCAUGAGCUCUCUAGCUGUGGUGCACAGGCUUAGUUGCUCUGUGGCAUGUGAGACUCAGUUCCCUGGCUAGGGGUCGAACUUGCAUCCCCUGCAUUGCAGGCAGAUUCUUAACCACUGGACCACCAGGGAAAUCCCAAGGCUUGGUGCUUCACUGCUGGGGCCUGAGUUCAAUCUAUGGUUGAAGAACUGAGAUCCUGCAAGCUGUGUGGUGUUGGCGGGAGAAAGAACAAAAAAAUAGACCUCAGGAAGGAACAGAGAGUAAUGCAAUAAUAGGGGACUUCAACAUCCCACUUUCAACAAUGGAUAUUUCAUCCAGACUGAAAAAUCAAUAAGGAAAAAUUGAAUUUAAAUGAUAUGUUAGACUAGACGGACUUAGAUACAUUAGAACAUUCUAUCCAAGGACAGCAGAAUACAUGUUCUUCUCAAAUGCAUAUGGAUCAUUCUCCAGGACAGAGCAUGUGUUAGGCCACAAAAGAGGUCUUAAUAAAUUUAAGGAGACUGAAAUUGCAUCAGACAUCUCUUCUGACCACAAAGGUAUGAAACUAGAAAUCAAUUAUAGGAAAAGUGGAAAAUCCACAAAUAUGUGGAGAUUAAAAACCAUGCUACUGAACAACCAAUGGGUCAAAGAAAACCAAACAAAUAAAAAAAUAUUCUGACACAAAUGAAAACAGAAUUGCAACACACAAAAAUAUACAAUGUAGCAAAGCAGUUCUGAUAGGGAAGUUCACACUGCAUUAAAAAUCAAGAAGGAUCUCACACAAACAACCUCAAUUCACACCUCAAGGAACUAGUAAAAGAACAAACUAAGCCCAAAGUUAGGAGAGGGAAAGGAAUGAUAAUGAUCAGAUCAGAAAGAAAUGAAACACAGAUGAAAAAGAUAAUAGAAAAGUGAAGAGCUGAUUUUUUUUUAAAAAAAGAAACAGAACAAAUUAUUAGCUAGACUUAACAAUGAAAAAGAGAAGCUUCAAAAUUAUAAAUGAGAUAUUAUAAAUAUUAAUAGUACCACACAAUGAACUGUAAGAGAGUAUGCUGAACAGUUAUACACUAAAAGACUACACAAACUAGAAGAGAUGGAAAAAAUUCUACAACCAUAUAACCUACCAAGACUGAAGUAUGAAACCAAAGCAAAUCUGAAUAUGCUAAUUACUAGUGAGGAGAUUGAAUCUGUCAUCAAAAACCUUCCAAUUAAGAAAAGUCUAGGACCAGCUAGAUUCAUUGAUGGAUUCAACCAAGCAUUUAAAGAAUUAAUACUAAAUCUCAAAUUCUUCCAACAAAUAGAAGUAGGAAUCCUUCCAAACAGUUUUAUGAGAACAUCAUUACCCUGAUACCAAAAGCAAAAAAUCCACUAAAAGAACAGAAAACUACAUGCCAAUAUCUCUGAUGAAUAUAGAUACAAAUAUCCUGAGCAACAUAUUAGCAAACAAAAAUCUACAGCACAUUAAAAGAAUUAUGCAUCAUAAUUAAGUGGAACUUAUUCCAGGGAUGCAAUGAUGGCUCAGUAUCCACGAAUCAGUGUUAUUAACCAGUUAACAAAAUGAAGGAUAAAAAUUGUAUGAUCUCUCAAGAUGCAGAAAAAGCAUUUGAGCAUUUGAUAAAGUUCAACAUUCAUUCAUGAUAAAAGAAGAAAAACUUACAAUAUAUGAGGUGUAGAAAGAAUGAGAGUCAACAUAAGAUAUGUAUGACAAGCCCACAGCUAACUGAUGAAAAGCAAAAAGGUUUUCCUCUUAAGAUCAGGAAUAUGCCCUGGGAAACAAAUUUGCAUGUAGUGGUUUGCUUUAUUGCAGUGUCUGGAACUGAACCUUCCAUAUCUCUGAUAUAUGCCUGUAUUGAG